CAGAGUUACUAAACUCCCAAACCCAUGUGAACUUACCUAUGUUGCCUCGGCGGACGCCUACCCUGUACCUACCCUGUAGUUACCCGGUAGAGCGGCCGCCGGCGGACCUUCAAACUCUUGUUUUAAUAUGGUUAUUCUGAGUUAUUACUAUAAUAAGUUA
rnacentral:misc_RNA from 1 species